UUUUCAAUUUAGACUCGUUUAUAUAUAUAGGAAAAUUAGGGUUUCACACAUUUUUGUCCUAUUCAUGAGGAUACUGUACUUCCCCUCAAACCCUUAAAUAUAUAAUCCAAAGUUUGACAAUUUUGUCGCUAAGCAAAAUGGUGUUUACCAAUCUUUGCUCUACAUUUGAUUUAUAACAAGAAUAUAAAAAUAUUUCCAAUAACAAAUUCAUCAGCCUUUACAUUUGUCCACCAUCACUAGUUAUAUAAUAUAUAUCUAAUAUCCUUUUUCUCUCUUAAGUUUUCUAGCCAUUGAUGUUUUAUCACAUUACCGGUAAAUUAACAGUUCAUUCAUACUACAGACAGUCAACUCGUGUCAAUAAUAAAAAUUCUUGAAAAAUGAAGAUUUUUAAUUAGACAAACAUUCUCACUAUUUUAUUAAUUUUGUAUGGAAAUUAGGUCUUUAUGCAGAUGUUGUGAAUGCAUGUUAAUAAUAAAAAUUCUUAAAAAAAUAAAGAUCUUUAAUUUGACAUACAUUCUGACUAUCUUAUAAAUUAUAGUAAAACCAAGGUCUUUAAGUACAUUUUACAACUUACAAAAACAUUUAGCAAUAACAGGUAUCUAACUAAUCAAUGUAUUAACAUCUGCCACUCAAGACACUUCACAUAUAUAUUAUAACAUAGAUUCACCAUCUUAAAAUAUUAUAGAUUGUAUAACGAGCAAAUAUGUACUAAAAACUCAUUUGUGCAUAUCAGCUGUACCAGUGAAUAAUUAUUUAGAUUUCAAUAUGAAACAAAAAAUAAAAUCAUAAGUCUAUCACUGGCAUGACUGGAUUUGUGAAAUGGUGGUUCCCAACCCAGAGUAAAGAGGGGAAGGGGCAUCUGUUCCAGCUUACGUUCCCUUCAAAUACAUUGAUCGUCCAAAAAAAGGGGGGCUCCAACCCCCCAGAACCCUCCCUCUGGAUCUGCCACUGAUGUAUUCUGCUAAUAUUGGAGACAGUGGGCAUGGACAUGAUGGAGUUAACUUGAUUUAAGAACUCAGACAUGCAAGAUAUCAUUUACUCAGAUAAUAGAAGUGGUUUUUGCCAUUUACCUUUUAUUCAAUAUGUAAUUGUCCCUAAAAUAUACACCCUUUCAAACCAUGACAACCAGACCAAACUAAAAAGAGUGAUAGGGUUUGCUACCACUGCUUAUAAGUAUUUUUAAUGUUUCUGCACAACAGAGGAAACUAAAAUUGGACAGACAAAGAUAUAGCUUGUAAACGCAAAAAUAUAAUGCCCAUAUUGAGAUGUAUGUAUAUCACACAGAAAAUAUACCGUACCAUUUUCAAAAUGAUGACCUUGGAUGUUUACAAUGUGUAAAAUAGUCAUGUGUAGUCAGGGUGAAGUUGAAAACAUUUCAUCAUCUCACCUUGAAGUUGACAACUUAUCUGCUCAUAAAGAGUGUUAGCUCUUUGAUUAAGAAAUCCCCAUUAUUUUAUAUAAAAUGGUCAAUAAAAUUUCCCUUUUCUAUCAUUUUAACCAUUAUGGGCAUUUAAAGCCUCCAUUACUUAUACCCUAGACCUGCCCCUGUUUUCUGUCUUUAUGUGAUUUAAGGUUUUUGAUUGGCCCACUGGUAUCUCUAAAUGAAUUACUGUGAAAUAUUACACCCAUUUUGACUUUAACUGUAGAAGGUUCUUGUAAAACAUAUUUCUAUUUUCACACUAUAUAUGUUAAACCAUUUCAAAUCAUUCACUACAUUUACACAAAAAAUUAGGGUUGAUGUUCUAUGCAUCAAAUAUAUAUACAAACUAUGUCCACAAAAAAACUAUCAUUAUGUUAAAUAAACAAUUCUGAAAC
rnacentral:lncRNA from 1 species